UACGUAGGUGGCGAGCGUUAUCCGGAAUCAUUGGGCGUAAAGAGCGCGCAGGUGGUUGAUUAAGUCUGAUGUGAAAGCCCACGGCUUAACCGUGGAGGGUCAUUGGAAACUGGUCGACUUGAGUGCAGAAGAGGGAAGUGGAAUUCCAUGUGUAGCGGUGAAAUGCGUAGAGAUAUGGAGGAACACCAGUGGCGAAGGCGGCUUCCUGGUCUGUAACUGACACUGAGGCGCGAAAGCGUGGGGAGCAAACAGGAUUAGA
rnacentral:rRNA from 1 species